rnacentral:rRNA from 1 species
UACGUAGGGUCCGAGCGUUAAUCGGAAUUACUGGGCGUAAAGCGUGCGCAGGCGGCUAUGCAAGACAGAUGUGAAAUCCCCGGGCUCAACCUGGGAACUGCAUUUGUGACUGCAUGGCUAGAGUACGGUAGAGGGGGAUGGAAUUCCGCGUGUAGCAGUGAAAUGCGUAGAUAUGCGGAGGAACACCGAUGGCGAAGGCAAUCCCCUGGACCUGUACUGACGCUCAUGCACGAAAGCGUGGGGAGCAAACAGG